UACGUAGGGUGCAAGCAUUAAUCGGAAUUAUUGGGCGUAAAGGGCGCGUAGGCGGGUUUAUAAGUCAGAUGUGAAAUUUCGGGGCUCAACCUCGGAGCUGCAUUUGAAACUAUAGAUCUUGAGGAUUGACGGAGAAAACGGAAUUCCACGUGUAGCGGUGAAAUGCGUAGAUAUGUGGAAGAACACCAGUGGCGAAAGCGGUUUUCUAGUUAACACCUGACGCUGAGGCGCGAGAGCAAGGGGAGCAAACAGG
rnacentral:rRNA from 1 species